GAUGAACGCUAGCUACAGGCUUAACACAUGCAAGUCGAGGGGAAACGACAUCGAAAGCUUGCUUUUGAUGGGCGUCGACCGGCGCACGGGUGAGUAACGCGUAUCCAACCUGCCCACCACUUGGGGAUAACCUUGCGAAAGUAAGACUAAUACCCAAUGACGUCUCUAGAAGACAUCUGAAAGAGAUUAAAGAUUUAUCGGUGAUGGAUGGGGAUGCGUCUGAUUAGCUUGUUGGCGGGGUAACGGCCCACCAAGGCGACGAUCAGUAGGGGUUCUGAGAGGAAGGUCCCCCACAUUGGAACUGAGACACGGUCCAAACUCCUACGGGAGGCAGCAGUGAGGAAUAUGGGUCAAUGGACGAGAGUCUGAACCAGCCAAGUAGCGUGCAGGAGGACGGCCCUAUGGGUGGUAAACUGCUUUUAUAAGGGAAUAAAGUGAGUCUCGUGAGACUUUUUGCAUGUACCUUAUGAAUAAGGACCGGCUAAUUCCGUG
rnacentral:rRNA from 1 species